rnacentral:misc_RNA from 1 species
GAUGAAGAACGUAGCGAAAUGCGAUAAGUAAUGUGAAUUGCAGAAUUCAGUGAAUCAUCGAAUCUUUGAACGCACAUUGCGCCCGCCAGUAUUCUGGCGGGCAUGCCUGUCUGAGCGUCAUUUCAACCCUCAUGCCCCUAGGGCGUGGUGUUGGGGAUCGGCGCGGCGCCCUCCGGGGCGCUGCCGGCCCCGAAAUUCAGUGGCGGUCUCGCUGUAGCCCUCCUCCGCGUAGUAGCACAACCUCGCGGCCUGGAGCUCGGCGGUGGCCAUGCCGUAAAACACCCCACUUCUGAAAGUUGACCUCGGAUCAGGUAGGAAUACCCGCUGAACUUAAGCAUAUCAAUAAGCGGAGGA